rnacentral:rRNA from 1 species
GACGAACGCUGGCGGCGUGCUUAACACAUGCAAGUCGAACGGAAAGGCCCUGCUUUUGUGGGGUGCUCGAGUGGCGAACGGGUGAGUAACACGUGAGUAACCUGCCCUUGACUUUGGGAUAACUUCAGGAAACUGGGGCUAAUACCGGAUAGGAGCUCCUGCUGCAUGGUGGGGGUUGGAAAGUUUCGGCGGUUGGGGAUGGACUCGCGGCUUACCAGCUUGUUGGUGGGGUAGUGGCUUACCAAGGCUUUGACGGGUAGCCGGCCUGAGAGGGUGACCGGCCACAUUGGGACUGAGAUACGGACCAGACUCCUACGGGAGGCAGCGGUGGGGAAUAUUGCACAAUGGGCGGGAGCCUGAUGCAGCAACGCCGCGUGCGGGAUGACGGCCUUCGGGUUGUAAACAGCUUUCGCCUGUGACGAAGCGUGAGUGACGGUAAUGGGUAAAGAAGCACCGGCUAACUACGUG